rnacentral:ncRNA from 1 species
ACUACUCCGCAAAUCAAUAAGUGGAGGAAAAGAAACUUACAAGGAUUCCCUUAGUAACGGCGAGUGAACCGGGAACAGCCCAGCCUUAGAAUCGGGCGGCUCCGUCGUCUAAAUUGUAGUCUGGAGAAGCGUCCUUAGCGGCAGACCGGGCCCAAGUCUCCUGAAAGGGGGCGCCAGAGAUGCUGAGAGCCCCAUUGUGCCCGGACCCUAUCGCACCACGAGGCGCUGUCUACAAGUCGAGUUGUUUGGGAAGGCAACCCAAAUCGGGGGGUGAAUUCCGUCCAAGGUUAAAUACGGGGGAAAGACCGAUGGCAAACAAGUACUGCGAGAGAAAGAUGAAAAGUACUUUGAAAAGAGAGUCAAAGAGUGCUUGAAAUUGCCGGGUGGGAAGCGGAUGGGGGCCGGCAAUGUGCCCCGGUCGGAUGUGGAACGGUGAAGAGGUUGUCCGUCGAUAGACUCGGGGAGUGGACCAGCAUGGAUUGGGGGGUAGACCAAAGCCCGGGCUCUCGAUAUGCCCUGGGAACGCGGUUUCCUUGAUUAUGGUAGGCAGCGCACGCCUCUAGCGUGAUUCGGCAAAUGCGCGCUCUGGACGCUGGCCUGUGGGCUCCCCAUUCUACCCAUCUUGAAACACUG